UUGCACACAGGAAGAAUGGGACAAAAUAACUUAUGAAACACUUAAUGGUUUGGUUAUUGUCAAUGCCAAAAUAUCUUUUAAGUGUGAGAAACAAUGGCAACGUUAUAAAGUGAAAAAUGCUUUACCAUCCCAAGUUGUUUUUUGGAAUUGCAGGCCUUAAAUGCAAAUGAAAUAAAGGUGAUGAAAAAUAUGAAAUAUCUUUAUACAGUUGGCAUUUUCCAUACUGUCUCAACUUUUUCUGACCUGGGGUUGUAAAAGCUAUGUAGAAACUAUGUGGUCAAGAUAAAACUUAAUUCUUUUUUUUAGAAAUACCUACAGCAGGAAAGUCUGUGUCUUGAGAGUGUCAAACAAAUUCCACAAUACAAAAAGCUGCUGAGAUCUGUUAAACCAGUUCUUUAAAAAAACAAACAAAAAAAAUU